rnacentral:rRNA from 1 species
GCUUAGAAGCAGCCAUCAUUUAAAGAGUGCGUAAUAGCUCACUAGUCGAGUGACACUGCGCCGAAAAUGUACCGGGGCUAAACAUAUUACCGAAGCUGCGGAUUGUCCUUUGGACAAUGGUAGGAGAGCGUUCUAAGGGCGUUGAAGCAUGAUCGUAAGGACAUGUAGAGCGCUUAGAAGUGAGAAUGCCGGUGUGAGUAGCGAAAGACGGGUGAGAAUCCCGUCCACCGAUUGACUAAGGUUUCCAGAGGAAGGCUCGUCCGCU